CCCUACACCGAUCACUCACAGCUCCCCGCACUACCUUCCACGCCUCGCGCUCUUCUGCCUCUGAAUGAAUGGAUUCCUGGAACACAGGGGUGUAACAUCCGGUGACAGCAGCUGUCCAGUGAGGCUGUAUUGAAUAUCUGAACCACAAUGAACUUUGGGAGGCUUCCGUGAAAAGAAGAAAACGGGAGCCAUUUUCUCAAAACUGACUGAGGACUGCAAUGAAGAAGCGAGAGAAAAGAAAGAAUCCCAAAAAGGUGGCUGCUCUCCCACCAAUAAGGUGGCUGACUUGGUGGAAGAUGACAGGGGCUUUAUAAAAGCCUAGAUUAAACCCUGCUCUCAUGGAUGCCCUUCAAAGAAAGGUAUGUACCGGGGAGAAAAGCUUGCUUCAAAGCAACACAGCGCACAAGGGAAGACACUAUGCGAGCGCUUGAUAAGGAAUGGCACCGUCAGGAGCUGGAUGAAGGGCAGCAUGGGAAAAUAGGGCUGAAUGUCUCCGGCUGCUGGCAGCCACUUGGCAUAUAUUCUGAUGGAACAAGUCACAUACGACCUUGGACUAAAUAUGCCACUUAUAAGAUGAUUUACAUUGAAGUCGAUUUAUGUAAGAAUUAUACAUUUCAGACAGAGUGUGUGUGUUGCAUAUUUAGUAUGUACUCUGCCUAAAAGGGAAAUCUGUAUAUAUCUGUAUAUACGGCACAUUUUAUGAGGACAUACACUUCUAAUGGAAAAAGAAAAUAUGGACAGCCGCACUCCAAAAAACCUUGAUGGUUGUCUUUAUUUAAAAAAGGAAAAAU